rnacentral:rRNA from 1 species
UACGUAGGGUGCAAGCGUUAUUCGGAAUUACUGGGCGUAAAGCGUGCGCAGGCGGUUUUAUAAGUCAGAUGUGAAAUCCCCGGGCUCAACCUGGGAACUGCAUUUGUGACUGUAGAGCUGGAGUACGGCAGAGGGGGAUGGAAUUCCGCGUGUAGCAGUGAAAUGCGUAGAUAUGCGGAGGAACACCGAUGGCGAAGGCAAUCCCCUGGGCCUGUACUGACGCUCAUGCACGAAAGCGUGGGGAGCAAACAGG